rnacentral:rRNA from 1 species
CACGUAGGGGGCAAGCGUUGUCCGGAUUUAUUGGGCGUAAAGGGCUCGUAGGCGGUUCGACAAGUCGGGUGUGAAACCUCCAGGCUCAACCUGGAGACGCCGCUCGAAACUGUUGUGACUAGAGUCCGGUAGAGGAGUAUGGAAUUCCUGGUGUAGCGGUGGAAUGCGCAGAUAUCAGGAGGAACACCAGUAGCGAAGGCGAUACCCUGGGCCGGUACUGACGCUGAGGAGCGAAAGCAUGGGGAGCGAACAGG